UACGAAGGGGGCUAGCGUUGUUCGGAAUUACUGGGCGUAAAGCGCGCGCAGGCGGCUAUCCAAGUCAGUGGUGAAAGCCCGGAGCUCAACUCCGGAACUGCCAUUGAAACUGUUUAGCUUGAGGACGAGAGAGGUGAGUGGAAUUCCCAGUGUAGAGGUGAAAUUCGUAGAUAUUGGGAAGAACACCGGUGGCGAAGGCGGCGACCUGGUCCGACACUGACGCUGAGGCGCGAAAAGCGUGGGGAGCAAACAGG
rnacentral:rRNA from 1 species